CCUUAGAUUACGCACACGCUCUUUGGCGGAACUCUAUGCUAAUGAAGCCGGCUGCAGGGCUGAUGGUGGUGCUGUCCUCCGCUCCCGCCUCUUCACCUCCCCACAUGCAGGGUGACAUCCUUCAGUCACUCCUGCAGCCUGAACAUGGCCGGAUCGCAGCUCCUCUCGGUCUUUACCCUCUUUGUCUUCUUCCCUGUCGUGCGUGUUUUUGGAGAGGUUGUAAACUUGGCGGACUCUGUGCAGUUAACGGUGAAUGGGGUCUGUGCGGGCGGUGACAUGCAGCUGGUCCGGGUCCGGAGGACAGACACCAGCUCUCGGUCAGUCGCAAACCGUGUCGGCGGUGUAUGGAAGCCCGCUGAUGACUACAAGGACCGGAUUCAUCACGUUUCAGCCUCCAGCGUCAACCUGACCAGAGUGAACUUCAACGAUGAUGCGUUUUAUGAGUUCACUUGUAAAAGUGAUCUUAUGAAAACCAUCCAGCUGACUGUGAUCUUCCCCUAUGAUGUGAGAGUGUCUGAGGGGGAGACAGCCAGGAUCCCCUGCUACUCCUCCACGGAGGGGCUGCAGGGGGGGAGCGCACGGUGGGAGAGGGACGGGGAGCUGGUUCUGGGUCAGAACCGCUCCUCCGGACAGCCCGAGGGGAGACUGUCGGUGUCACCUGACUGGAUCCAGACUGGAGACUUGUCCCUGACUGUGAAGGACGCUCAGCUGGAGGACGGAGGGAACUACGUUUGUUACACCGUGGAUGGAAACGGAGAGAAAACCAGAGGAAGAAGUCCUGCUGCUGUGAAGGUGACCGUCCAGAGGAGCCGCCCUGCUCCCACUGGUACCCUGCAGCCGACACCGGGACCGGACGAGGAGCAGAUCGGAACUGGACUCAUCGUCAGUAUAAUCUUCAAUGUGCUGCAGCUGCUCUUAGCUGUAGUUCUCCUCUGCGUGUUGUGUUUGGUUCGUGUUUGUAAGGCUCACAGAGCUGCAGGUGUCAGACCCCCCGCAGAUACAGAGAUGGAGCCUCUGGAUGGAGAUCCUGAUCACGUUCCUAAUGGAGGGGCCCACAGAGCGGAGCCAUGACACCCAGAAAUCAGACCCACAUGUUAAUUAAUUGAAUUAUUACAACCUGAUUAAGAUCAACACUGGGAUGGUUGAUGUCACUCAGCUUCACACUCCUCAACAACACAGUUGUAUAUAUCGUAUCUGAGUGUCACAUCUUCUGCUUCUUUAACAAUAAAAGUGGUUAGAUUUUAAAAAUGUGACCAUUGUUUCUUUAUGUUCGUGUGU
rnacentral:lncRNA from 1 species